CGACAUUCCAGAAUGAGGCCAAGUCUGUCUGUUGAGUGAAUGUUUUUGUAGGAUGAAGUUGGGAGAACACAAUGUCGACCUUCGGGCCUACGUCACACUUUGCGAACAAAAUGGCGGCUUCCAUGGGAGUUUGUCAUUCUUUUUCAUGGUACGUCUGUGUGGAUAUAUCGCAAAAAUCGAUGACCGGGUCGAGUUGGCUGCAAGACAGAGAAACGAUCAAAACAUUGAUCGUUUAAAGGUGGUUGGAACUAGUGCAGAAUCUGGUACCAAUGGAUGUGGAUUGCACCUGCCCGGAGCUGCAAAGCUCUCCAACGCGUGAUGAGGCUUCACCAAUGCUGGAUCCUUGCCACCAGGAGCAGCCAACAGGUUCAAAAGGCCGACUGGAGGGUGCUUAUGUUCAGCCUCAGAGCACCAGCUAUUCUCAUGGCUCAGAGGUAGCCAAAGCAAGCACAAAACACCUUGGACCGCAGAUCGUGUGCCUUCCAACGGAGCAACCGCACAGUUGUUCCAAGUGCAGUGACUGUGGCCGGACUGAAGAGGAACCAUUGAAGCCUGGCUACAUGACAGAUUUCACGCAACCACCAACCCCAUUGCUUAGAACCACAGGUUGUGCAUCAUUGCUACUGGCUUGCUUAUGGUGCCAUUGCUUUGGCUAUCUUCUCAACGUACUACCGCCAUGCUGCCUCAUUCAGAUGGAGGUCGCCUGCAAGUCACUGGGGCUGGCUUGUCUCAGAUGCCCUUUUUUUGAGCUACAAACAGCAGUCAGCGAGCCAACCACCCCAGAGGACAUUCAUUGCCGUUGUAACGUUGACUGCUCAAGAUGCAAUGGCUGUGUGGAUUCCACUGAGCUUGUUGAUCUGUGUGUGGAAUGCUCAAGCUUUUGGCACCAUGGUUAAACAUCUCGAUUGCUUGUGUGGUCAGUUGCUGUAUUAGAGAAAGACAACAACUCUUUGCUGGGACACAGACUGCUGCUGCAGUGAUGUCAUCCCAUUGUUGCACAGGCCAAUACCAAAUAUUAACUUACUCCAGAAUCAAAAUCGAGACGCAAUAUUGCUACUCUGCAGACCAAGUUGAUUGAGACAAAAAAAUUAAAGCCACAGUAUUUGUUUCCACAUUAACAAAAAAUAAAAAUAAAUUGAAUGACUUACUAAUUGUUGUACAAUGAAGCAGAUGCAACAGCUCUCCUGUUGUGUCUGAACCAUCCAUAUUUUAAGUUGUUUGGUCUCAAGUCUGAGUCCAGCCAAAUCUACGAGUUCAAACCCAGAACUCCAAAAGUUUUGGGUUUGGUUACAAAAGUAAUAAAUACACCCUACUCGCAUGACCACUUCAAUUAUUUUGUGGUUGCAAGAAAGAGGUUUCACCCCCAAAGGGGCUUAAUUCGGUAAUUCAUUUUUUUACGAUUGUUCUAUUCUCCCCUUAACCGUUGCUCAAAGCUUAUGAAACAACUCAUAAUGCCAUUUAAGCUUCAUGUGCAUUAUUGUUAAGAACACGUUACUAUGUAUGUAAAAAAAAAAAAACAACACUUAUAGGUGUAACAGACAUAGCUUAUUUGGAAGACCAGGCACGAAAAUUAAAUAACAGAGAAUAACAUCUUUAAAAUAUUUACAAUGGCGAGUUGGAGAGAAUGAAGGUAAAUAAAGAUCUCCAAACUGAGAAGUCUCUAUCACAUCAGAAGGGAGUCAAAAAUGGACAUUUUUACAAUCAAAUUGUUAGUCGAUUGUUUUAGCUUUAGCUUGCAGGGGGAAAUCUUUAAUGUACUUGGAUUGACAAGCAGGCGAAUAAACAGCUAGACGAUAGAACUCAAGACAUCGAGUACUUGGACAACAAUGUAAUGUUUUCUAUCAGUCGAUGUGUUCUGGUCACCAUUUAUUUUCAAUAUCCUCCAAGUGUUCUUCACUCAUCGAAUUCAUCAUAAUUUAUGUUUUUUUUACUGAUCCGCAAGCAUCAUCAAGAGUAGCCAUAGGUGUCCUCACUGGAAGCCCACAGCCGCAAUAAAUCUGCGGCCACUCUGAUUAGAUUCCCCCAGAGAUUGAGUCGAAAAAAGGGAUAAAAAGUUUUUCAGGGUUCGGAAGGGAUGAGUGUAGGGAGGACUGCUCAUUCGUCGCCUGCCAGCUGAUGGAGCCGUAGUCUGAAGACUGGGGAAGUUGGAGGAGGUUUGCAGUGUAUAGGUCUUCCUCAUCAGGCAUUUUUCUUACAAUUAUUCUACCUCCACUGGUAUUCCCACGACAAGCACGUCUCCUUCACCAACUGAUCCACCGUUCAGACAUUAAAAGAACAAGGUUUAGGGUAAGAGGAGGAGGAGGGAGUAAAGAGAAGAGAAGGAGUAGUGAGGUUUUUGGUAGGAGGGUGACUAAAAACACUAUAAUUUUGUGAAGGUCAUUAAUAGGUGGCUCUUAAUAUUCCUGAUCAACUCUCGUACAUGACAUAUUUUGAUUUAAAAAUUGGACCAUUUAUCAUUUCCUUAUCUCCCCUUGCUUCCACAGUCAGGGAAAGAUUUCAUUCCUCACAAAGCCACGAAGGUCACCCCCACGCCACGUCCUAACACCAGCCAGUGGGGACAAGGAGGGCACGGUCCUCAAUGGCUCUGCAACGGCACACGUCUCAAGCCACUGUGGGUUUCAUAGUCGUUCAUUUCCUGUUUGCCUUUAAUCUCCAAAAAUAUUGCCUCGCACGAGAGUGUGAGAUAUUCAUUCGGUGAUGAGCUGUCUGGGGUUUUGCUGGAACUUUCUGUUAUACAUCAGCCUUUAAUGUUUUAGAGCGGCGGCUCAGCAUGGUGGCAUAAAAUAAAGCAC
rnacentral:lncRNA from 1 species